CCUACGGGUGGCAGCAGUGGGGAAUAUUGGGCAAUGGGCGCAAGCCUGACCCAGCAACGCCGCGUGAAGGAAGAAGGCUUUCGGGUUGUAAACUUCUUUUGUCAGGGAAGAGGAGAAGACGGGACAUGACGAAUAAGCCACGGCUAACGACGGGCCAGCAGCCGCGGUAAUACGUCGGGGGCAAGCGGUGUCCGGAGUUACUGGGUGUAAAGGGCGUGUAGCCGGGUUGACAAGUCAGAGGUGAAAUCCUGCGGCUUAACCGCAGAACUGCAUUUGAAACUGUUGAUCUUGAGUACUGGAGAGGCAGCUGGCCUUCCUCGUGUAGCGGUGCACUGCGUCGAUAUUAGGCGGAACUCCAGUGGCGAAGGCGGUCUGCUGGACCGCACCUGACGGUGAGGCGCGAAAGCGUGGGGAGCAAACCGGAUUAGCUACCCGGGUAGUC
rnacentral:rRNA from 1 species